CUUAUACAAAUUUGUUUCAAUUUAAGUAUUAAUGAUAUUGAUGUGCCUAUUGUUGUAUUCUAAACUGUAAUAUAUAAUUAGGAGUACUGUCGUUUGAAAAUGAGAUUCAUGCGGACGAUUCGAAGAUAAUAAUAUAAUGGAACUAAAUUCAAUCAAAACUUCAAUAGAUUAUGUUGAACAAGUAGAUUAUGAUUAGUUUUUUUGUGUACAGAAUUACAUUUUAUUUAUUUAUUUAUAAACGCGCUAGGGCCCUAUAGAACAAUAAUAGGUGAACAUUACAAGACGAAAAAUUUGUAGAACGGUAACAGUAUACACGACAAUUAGCACGCAUUAUAAAAAUAAUAAUUUGUACAUUUUACCUUUUAUUCUCAAUGAUAAUUCGUUUUAAUAGUCUUUGUGGAUAUAAUACUCGAAGAAAAUAAAAAUUGACUACAAUAGUUUAUCGCGUUCGUGUACCGAAAACGCAGUCAUUCUAUUCGUUUACAGAUAAACUGAAUAUAAUAUUAAAUCUAUCCGAUAAACGUUGAACAAAUACGAGUGGUACCUAUUGUGUCGAGUUAUUUAUUUCCGCAAUAUCCUAUUAUAUAGCCGGUUUACUUGCGUGUCAAAGACGUUAAAGUAUCUGCGUACAAUUUAUCCAAUAAUAUUUAUGUGUACAAAUAAAUGGAUUGUAAAUAUUAUAGUACAUAAACAGUGCAAUAUUAUAGUUCGGUAGACAAUUUUGAAGAGAAAAAACUGUACGUGGUAGGUAUAUUGCCGUGAUGGUCACUGUUCUAUAUACAUUUUUAACCUAACCUGGGGGGGGGGAUUCGGAUUCAACCCCCACCCCGAAAUUAUUUUCCAAUAUUACUACCUUGCAAUAGGUACUUUGCGUAGGUACAGGUACUGGUUUUAUAAACAAAAUAUGUUUAACUAGAAUAUUAUAGAAUAGUUAUACUAUUUAGUUGCAUAAUGAUAAAAUUAUAUAAAAUUUAUUAUCGAGAAUUCGAGACGUAUAUGGAAAUGUAUAUAAUACUGUUUUGGUGAAAAAAAAAAAAAAUCGAACUUCGUUAAUAUAUUCAUAAUAUCGUAUAAUAUUCUAAAAUAUUGCAUCGGGUACGUGCCGUGACAAAAUAAUAGAAUGUAUUAGUUUGUAAUUUCGUUACCGCUGUAAAAUACCUAUACUUCAUUAUUGCAGUAAAAUAAAAACUUAACCGAUCCUUAGGGGUUAUUAUCCUUUAUCAUAAUAUUAUAAUGGUUACGUGCGUCUGAAUAUUGAAAUACAUUAUAAUUAUUCGAUAUCAGUGGUGUAUUAACUACCCCUUCCCCUCUCCGCCGAUAGGGAUGCACGAUUUCUAUUAUAUCGGUAUGAUUUAUAUGGAUUUAGCUGUCUAAAUUGCGUUAACUUACACCUCACCUCCCCGAGAACAAGUGGUAAAUACGCCACUUAUCAGUUUAUAUUUUAUAUAUAUAUAUAUAUAUAUAUAUAUAUAUAUAUUUAUAUAUUUAUUAAAAAAUAAAUUUAAACCUUCAAAUAAUAUGUUUAAAACAGUUUUUUAAUUCCAUAAAUGGCAAUCUUAUGCGCUAUUAUUGUAUAAAUUACCUAUAGUUAUUAUCAUAAUUACUUAUUCUUAGGACGUUAUAAGUAUAAAAUCUUGAAUUGCACAAUGAAACAGUGGCGUAUACUGCGUAAAAUGCGUUUACUUCUGGGGUGAUGUAGAUAUAUUAUAAUAUAGUAAUGAGAUUCAAUAUAAUAAUUAUGAAACUAUUAUAUUUUAAUUGUUUGAAAAACUGUUUAUAUUCGAACGAAUUAUUAAAAAAAAAUUACCUACGUCAGAUCCUCCGCCCUUCGGACCACCGUGUUUUUACUAUUAAAACGUGCCACUGAUUUAGGCAUUUAUUAAAUAAGUACAUUUAUUUUUUUUUUUUGGUUUUAUGUUUUAAGUAUAAGCUAGGUGUACAAAUAAUUUCUACCGACCGGUAGAAUAAGGAAUAUAACACCAACGUAAAAGUAGGUGUCUUAAAAUAUAUUAUUAUAGGAACCGUUUAACUCGUGUCCGAUAAGUGGUAAAUACACAUUAAUCCCAAUGAAGGGGGUUGAAGUCGUGCCAAUAAAACUAGGUUUUUAUCAUAUUACAAUGGAUACAUAGAUCAACUGAUAUAGCAUAGACCCUAUGAGUGAAUGGGAACGAUGACAGGUCAAGAGAGCGCAAACUCUAUUUAUCAAUCCGUAAAGUAGCUAAAAUAUUUUCAGAGAGACAUGUUACCAUUGGACAGCGUAUGGGAGUGACGCGUCAAAAUAUCCCGAAAACCAGAAUAUCACCGGGAAAAUGUUCCGUUACAAAAUAUAAUUAUAACAAUGCAAUUAUAUUUUAUUAAAAAUUAAAAAAACAAAUGUAAAAAUGGUAUAAAUUAGUUUAAAUUUAAAUUUUAAAAAAAAAAAAAACCAUAAAUAAAUAUUAAAAUAUUGAUAUUUUUCCUCCGUUUUUUCAGUGUGAUAUACUGAACGAACGGCCGUUAACUAUUAGUAAUUUAUUGCCUAUUCGGUUUCGGAGAAAUGCUAACGUUUUCGAUUUUACAAUUGGAAAGACGGUGUGUGUUGGUUCGUUUAACACGCGUGAUGUAAUUAGGAACAAAACAACACGCGGUACCAUUAAACAAAAUAACGAAUAACACAUACGGCGCGAUACAAUCAGACGGGUAACUCGCGAUUAUUGCACUGUUAACCGUAGCUUAUAAAAGCUAUGGUUGUAAUAAAGGUUAACGUUUUGAAUUGUGUAUUAACGCGGGAUAUUUUGACGCGAAACCAGCGUAUAAGGACCACACGUGACCACGCUGCAUCCACUACAGGCCAUGUACAGCGGAUAAUAAUAUCGUUUGGCUAACAAUAAUAUCUCGUGUAUUAUAAUGAGAACGGCGAGAGAGAAAAUGCUUAGUUUGGGCCCCGGAUCUCCCUCAUUCCGUAUCGUCUUGAUGGUCGAUCGGUAGUGUGGUUGACGAGGCGAUACACCGCACAGUCUGAUACCCAUCUACGGUAGUUGUUUUACCUACGAUUUGAUCGCGCGUUUAUCGAUCUGCGCAUAUAAUGAUAAUAUGUCCGACUGCCGAUAACGGCACAUUUCGCUUAUAAUUAACAUUAUCAACAAUUGAACACAAUAUUGAUUUUGGGCGAUCUCGUUGGGACGGAUGCCGAUAGGAUGCCGUGCAUGUUGUGUAGGUGAUUGGACAAAAAUCAACAGUCGUAAUAUGGGGCGAUAUUGUUGCAAAAAUUCGUAUUAGGCAAUAUUAUCAUUAAUAUUUUGGAGCAAACUUAAAUUUAUAGAUUACACUUAAUUUACACAAUACACAUUUCAUAUUAAAUUAUUGCCGUUUGCGUUUUAAUGUCAUUAGGUAAUGGAUGCCUUCUAUGUAGGCAUAAGGGUAUCUGGGUGCAGUGGCGCAACAAAGAUUUCUCUUCGACAGUGGUAGGUAGAGGAAGGUAGUUAAUUAAAAAUCGAUUUUAUUAUAAAACAUUACAUUAGACAUUAAAUAAUCGAAUCCGCGUGCAUUUCAUAAUUUCACGCGUUUUAAUAAAUUAAAAAUAAGUUAACAAAUUUAAUUUUGCACGUUAUAUAAUUGCAUUAUACAAAAUAUUCAGUAUAAUAUUGCAUACAUCUGUCGAAACUAUUAAAAAACGUGCAAUACGCUUGAUUAUUAGUGACUUGCUUAUAUAAACUAUAUUACUGAAUACUUAAUUGAAAACCAAAUUUUAUAUAGGUAUAAUAAUGUAUAGGUAAUACACCUAUCAAAGAAUUAGAAUUAUUAUACAUAUAAUUAUUAUUAAUUAUUAUGAUUUAACAUAAUACUGUAACUGAUACUAAUAUAAGUAGAUAUUAUGUUUUAAAAUUAUACUCAUAUUAAUUAAAAAUAUUAUUUAACAUGGCUGUUGUAGUGAAUUUCGGUAUACCUAAUGUUUAGCCGUUAAAAAAAAAAAAAAUAUUGCAAUUUAUUAAUGUUAUGUAAUACGACGAGUUAGACAUUUAUUCAAGAUAAUUUAUUAUAUAUUAUAAUAUUGUUUAAAAAACAUAUAUUUUAAGCAUUUUUAUUUCAGAUAUAUAACAUUAUUAUUCAUAAUUAUUAAUUAUUAUUAUUGACUAAGAGAUCUUGAAUAUAAUAAAUAUAAUUGAUAAAUAAUUCAUUUAUUAUGAUUAUAAUUCAAAAACAUAUACCCAUAUUAUAUUGUAAAAAAAUUUAAAAUAUACUAAAUUGCAAGUAUUUAAAUUUUUUUAAAGUUACCUUUUUUUCUGUUUUCAAACCAUAAUAUUAUUAUUAUUAUUAUUAUUAUUAUUAUUAUUGUAAUUAUAUCAAAUUUAUGUCUGUG